rnacentral:rRNA from 1 species
CCUACGGGAGGCUGCAGUGGGGAAUAUUGGACAAUGGGGGGAACCCUGAUCCAGCGACGCCGCGUGAAUGAAGAAUUCUUUCUGUAUGUAAAGCUCUAUCAGCAGGGAAGAAAGAAAUGACGGUACCUGACUAAGAAGCCCCGGCUAACUACGUGCCAGCAGCCGCGGUAAUACGUAGGGGGCAAGCGUUAUCCGGAUUUACUGGGUGUAAAGGGAGCGUAGACGGCGAUGCAAGUCUGAAGUGAAAGGCGGGGGCACAACCCCCGGACUGCUUUGGAAACUGUAUGGCUGGAGUGCAGGAGAGGUAAGUGGAAUUCCUAGUGUAGCGGUGAAAUGCGUAGAUAUUAGGAGGAACACCAGUGGCGAAGGCGGCUUACUGGACUGUAACUGACGUUGAGGCUCGAAAGCGUGGGGAGCAAACAGGAUUAGAUACCUGAGUAGUC